UACGUAGGCAGCAAGCGUUGUUCGGAAUUACUGGGCGUAAAGAGUGUGUAGGCGGUGCUCUAAGUUCGGUGUGAAAUCUCCCGGCUCAACUGGGAGGGUGCGCCGGAAACUGGGGUGCUGGAGCGCGGGAGAGGAAAGCGGAAUUCCUGGUGUAGCGGUGAAAUGCGUAGAUAUCUGGAGGAACACCGGCGGUGUAGACGGCUUUCUGGACCGUAGCUGACGCUGAGACACGAAAGCGUGGGUAGCAAACAGG
rnacentral:rRNA from 1 species